rnacentral:rRNA from 1 species
CAAACGAAUCCAAACACUUUCAGCAAUGGAUGUCUUGGCUCCUACAUCGAUGAAGAACGCAGCGAAAUGCGAUACGUCAUGCGAAUUGCAAAACCAGCGAGUCAUCAAAACUUUGAACGCAACUUGCACUUCCCUCGGGGAGUAUGUCUGUUGGAGGGUCUAUUCUUCCCCACCAC